GACGAACGCUGGCGGCGUGCCUAAUACAUGCAAGUAGAACGCUGAGGACUGGUGCUUGCACUGGUCUAAGGAGUUGCGAACGGGUGAGUAACGCGUAGGUAACCUACCUCAUAGCGGGGGAUAACUAUUGGAAACGAGAGCUAAUACCGGAUAACACCGAAAACCGCAUGGUUUUCGGUUGAAAGGCGGCUUUUAGCUGUCACUGCAGGAUGGGCCCGCGGCGCAUUAGCUAGUUGGUGAGGUAACGGCUCACCAAGGCGACGAUGCGUAGCCGACCUGAGAGGGUGACCGGCCACACUGGGACUGAGACACGGCCCAG
rnacentral:rRNA from 1 species